AUUGGAAAAUAUAGGGGUGUUGUGUCUAUCUCAUUGACAUUUAAUAGGUGUUCUGUGUCUUAUGACCUGAGGGGGGCAGCAAUGCACUGACCGUGUCUAGCCUGCCGACAACCAAGAAGAAGAAGAAGAGCAGCCAGUCAGGGACUGUGUGAGU